rnacentral:rRNA from 1 species
CUUGAACGCUGGCGGCAGGCCUAACACAUUCAAGUCGAGCGGAGCGGCGGACGGUUGAGUAAUGCCUAGGAAUCUUCCUGGUCUUGGGGGAUAACGUCCGGAAACGGGCGCUAAUACCGCAUACUAUCAGAUGAGCCUAGGUCGGAUUAGCUAGUUGGUGGGGUAAAGGCCUACCAAGGCGACGAUCCGUAACUGGUCUGAGAGGAUGAUCAGUCACACUGGAACUGAGACACGGUCCAGACUCCUACGGGAGGCAGCAGUGGGGAAUAUUGGACAAUGGGCGAAAGCCUGAUCCAGCCAUGCCGCGUGUGUGAAGAAGGUCUUCGGAUUGUAAAGCACUUUAAGUUGGGAGGCGUUACCAACAGAAUAAGCAACGGCUAACGGCGUGCAAGCAGCCGCGGUAAUUC